rnacentral:rRNA from 1 species
UACGAAGGGUGCAAGCGUUACUCGGAAUUACUGGGCGUAAAGCGUGCGUAGGUGGUUUCUUAAGUCUGCUGUGAAAGCCCCGGGCUCAACCUGGGAAUUGCAGUGGAUACUGGGGAGCUAGAGUGCGGUAGAGGGUAGUGGAAUUCCCGGUGUAGCGGUGAAAUGCGUAGAGAUCGGAAAGAACACCAACGGCGAAAGCACUCUGCUGGGCCGACACUGACACUGAGAGACGAAAGCUAGGGGAGCGAAUGGG